rnacentral:lncRNA from 10 species
GAAGCAAUCAGAUCUAUAUUUGUCUCAGGCCACGGGCUGCCCCAGGAGACCUACUCAACCCAUGUCAAGCCAGUGAAUUUCUUUUGGAAGUAGUUAUCAUCAUGAAGGGAGGAGAUGUGAAUCUGAGAGCUGUUGGCAGUGGUUACUUUCCACCACUUAGACCAGGAAGCCAAGAAGCUUGUCUGCAGCAAGUGUGAAAAGUGAGAUGCCAGGAAAAAGAAGUCAAGUUUAUAAAUUCAGAAAAACUUCCUGGAUAGAACUCUCAUAGUACUCCAGUGACUGAGGUAUAUAGGUUCCCUGAUAAAAUGGCCGUAUAUAUUAUAUUCACAAUUAUAUCCCCAGCUGUAGUACUGUAGGCAUUUUAUAAUUAUUUGUUCAAUGAAUAAGUAAAUAGGGUCUCAAGUGGAGGAAACAGUUAAAUGAAAAAAAAGUGGCAGCUGUUCUGAAUUAUUUUGAUCUUGGAAGAUUUUAUAUUUCAUGUAGGAUUAUAAUUGACUGAUUGUUGAUUUCAUCAUUUUGACUUAGAAACUUUUGCUCUGAAAAAUAUGGCAGGAGUUCAUUUGGGUGGAUUAGAUAAUCAUCAAAGUUACUUGAAAAGCUUGUAUAAAUGUCAGGUUCUGGAUACCAGCCUGUGGAAAUUCUGAUUCAGUUAGUCUGGGGUUGGGUUCCAGAGUCUGCAUUUUUCAAAGUGUUCCCCAGGUGAUUCUGCUGAAUAGCCAUGUUCUUAGAGUUCCACAAAUCCCCAUACCCUGUGGCUCACUCAUCUCCCAGUUCUAAGCUAUUUAUUGCAUUGAGUAUUUAGGUAACAUCAAUUUGUCAUUUAUUCAGUGACUACUUGUUACCAAAUAUAUGUAAAAGACGUCAAAAAUUGAUGGCUUGCUCUGCUUUCAAAAUUUCCUAACAGAAAAGCAGUGGCUACCUUUCUUAAAUUAACAAUAAAGCAAUGUUUUCU